AUUGAACGCUGGCGGCAGGCCUAACACAUGCAAGUCGAGCGGAUGAAGGGAGCUUGCUCCUGGAUUCAGCGGCGGACGGGUGAGUAAUGCCUAGGAAUCUGCCUGGUAGUGGGGGAUAACGUCCGGAAACGGGCGCUAAUACCGCAUACGUCCUGAGGGAGAAAGUGGGGGAUCUUCGUACCUCACGCUAUCAGAUGAGCCUAGGUCGGAUUAGCUAGUUGGUGGGGUAAAGGCCUACCAAGGCGACGAUCCGUAACUGGUCUGAUAGGAUGAUCAGUCACACUGGAACUGAGACACGGUCCAGACUCCUACGGGAGGCAGCAGUGGGGAAUAUUGGACAAUGGGCGAAAGCCUGAUCCAGCCAUGCCGCGUGUGUGAAGAAGGUCUUCGGAUUGUAAAGCACUUUAAGUUGGGAGGAAGGGCAGUAAGUUAAUACCUUGCUGUUUUGACGUUACCAACAGAAUAAGCACCGGCUAACUUCGUG
rnacentral:rRNA from 1 species